AUCUUUUUCUCCUCCUCUUCAUCUUUUUUCAAUCACAAUCAUUUACAUGGCAUCAACUCAACUUCAUAUGUAUAAUAAUUAAAAAGGUAACAAUAACUGAAUAACAAACCAAAGAUAAAAAAAUAAAAUAUAUAUUUCUAAACUAUAUUUACUUUUUGAGUUUAAAAUUAUGUAUUCAUUAAGCUUACAAUCAUCUCUUAAUUCAAAUGCAAGAAAAAGUAUUGUUCUUAAAAAUAAAAGGUUAGAGAUGGCUUGUGGCUAAUAAACCACCUUUCAUGGGGUAACAGAGUACAACAAAAAGACAAUUAUCCCUAGUCAUUUCUGUAGACAAUAAGUUUUUUUUUCUGUGGUUUAAAAGAUUUUAAGAGUCAUUUUGUUGUAUUAUUAACUCUUUUAUUUGUUCGUUAACCAUAUAUCAAACAGCGUAUUUAACUCAAGUGAUAAUAUCAGAGCAAAAGAUUGAGGAAGCUAACCAGUAACACCGGCAAAACGGAGA